AGGCAAAAGUCUGGUGCAGAGGUGAAUUCAGAGAAGAUUCUGUUAUGUCUUUGUUUGUUUUUUUGGUAUUUUUUUUUACUACA
rnacentral:sRNA from 1 species